rnacentral:rRNA from 1 species
CCUACGGGAGGCAGCAGUGAGGAAUAUUGGUCAAUGGACGAGAGUCUGAACCAGCCAAGUAGCGUGAAGGAUGACUGCCCUAUGGGUUGUAAACUUCUUUUAUAUGGGAAUAAAACGUUCCACGUGUGGGAUUUUGUAUGUACCAUAUGAAUAAGGAUCGGCUAACUCCGUGCCAGCAGCCGCGGUAAUACGGAGGAUCCGAGCGUUAUCCGGAUUUAUUGGGUUUAAAGGGAGCGUAGGUGGAUUGUUAAGUCAGUUGUGAAAGUUUGCGGCUCAACCGUAAAAUUGCAGUUGAAACUGGCAGUCUUGAGUACAGUAGAGGUGGGCGGAAUUCGUGGUGUAGUGGUGAAAUGCUUAGAUAUCACGAAGAACUCCGAUUGCGAAGGCAGUUCACUGGACUGCAACUGACACUGAGGCUCGAAAGUGUGGGUAUCAAACAGGAUUAGAUACCCCUGUAGUC